AGUCGAGGGGGCCGAGGAACACCUCGGCAUCUGGAGUCUGGCGGGAAUGGUGAAAGGGUUGGGGCGCUAGCUCGGGCAGAGCGGAGGCUGGCGCCUGGGAACCAGCAAGGGGCAUGGUGUGACUCCCAGGCGUCAGGCAAACAGGGAAACAUCGGGGUAGGGUAGACUGGCCCGAGCUAGCGCUGGAGAGGAUAGAGUGAGCCAGACAUUCAUCCCGGUCACUUUUGGUUACAGGACGUGGCAGCUGGUCGGACAAGGGGGAACUGAUGGGCAGGGUUCAAUCUUCAGGCCUGGGCAAUUGAAGGUGUAGCUGGCAGCAAUGGGCAGGUGAGGACCGCCAUCUGCGGGGCAGGUGAGUCCCCUUCUCCUCCCUGGCCUCGCCACACUGACCUCCUGUAAGAAGGAGGAUUAAGAAGCGAAGGCUGGGGAAGAGAAGCGGCUAGCCUCCCAGUAGAGCGGGACAUGAGGGCAGGACAGUUAGUUAGAGGUGACAUCUUCUCGGGGGGAGCCGAGACGGAGCAAGGCUGGGUGGCCAUGGGCUCAUACCAGGUGGAAAGGUAAUGAGAGAGCAAGUCAGAGAGGUAGUAGGGCUGCCAGUGAGGGCUUGAGGCUGCUGACUCCAGGGAGGUGAUACGUGACCUUGGGGACGGUGGCAGAAGCGGCGUGGAUCCAACAAGAAUGGGCAUAUUCCAGGUUCGGGUUGAACAGGGCAGGCAGGGAAAGGUGUCACAGGACACACAGAUCGGUCCCCGGCUGCUACCACAUCUCACCCACUGCAAUCCAUUUAGAAGUAGGUUCAAGAAUGGACUCCAGCGAGGCCUUCGCUGGAGCUUUGAGGGCCGGAGAGCGGGAAAGAAGGGCAGUGCAUGCGGCAUGGCAGGACAUCACCGUGGGGGGAGGAGGGGUGACCACGGGUGGCGGGCUCCAGAGAGAUACCACAGCAAGGAGGCUGCAGCGGGCCCAGCCCAUGGACACACCACUCCCAAGCAGCACUGCGGCCCAGGGGUUGGCGCGGAGAGGGCUCACAGUGGACCUGAUGACACUGUACGCCCUAACCGUUCAGACCCCUGGGUCUGGCAUAGCGAACAGCUCAACACCAGGGGAGUCAAGGGCCUGGGGCGAAGCCAGACAAGGCGGGGUGGGCGGGGCGGAGUGAGUGCGCCCUCUAGGGAAGGAGGUGAUGCCCAAGCAGGGCGAGGUGCGGCAGCUUGGCAGCGAGCCGACGAGGCACUGGACUCCAGAGCCUGUGGCCAGGGAGGGCCCCUUGGGCGACGACGGAGCGUUGAUCGGUGCCUCAGAGCUCGGACAAGAGACAGAGUCAGGUCUCCAACAGAGGUGGGAGUGCCUACCAGCCACCGAAGGCCAGGACGGCAGGCGCGAUGAACAUACUAGAAAGACAUGAUACGGUCCGGUGUGAUGGCGAGGACAGAAAGGCUGCCAUCCAGCCUUCCUGAACACCAGUGGCUGGCGCUGCAGGACAUUGCCACAAGAAUCGUCUGUUCCUUUGCUUUGCCCAAUGAGCUCACACACAUCACUGCUGCUCUCUGGAAACCCCCCCCCUCCUAGAACCCUCAAGAUGACAAGAAAUGGUGCUACCCAGCUCAUGUCUGGGCCUUCAAAACCUUCGAAUUUGGGGACUUCUUCAAGUCCAUCUAGCUCUGAUUCAAGAAUAUAUUAAGCUCGGAACCACUACACUACCUGCCUCAGGAAUCGGCUCUGGAAGGCAAAGCCAAAGGAAUGGACAGUGUCAACACCGUGGACUGGCAGACACGCAGCAACCAUGCCCCACCCCGUGACUCCAUCUAUGUGGCCAACCCUGCCUCGCCCAGGAGAAUACCAUCUACAUGUCACCCCGGGGCGCAGCUUCUGCCCUGGGAUGACCCCAACACCAUCACCUCCUUCCUCUCCUCUUCUUCAUCCUUUCCUGUGUUCUCAUAUUUCUCGCCUUUCCUCUUUUCUUUGCUCGAGAGACUCAAAGCAUCCGUGACUCUGUUUCCCCACUCAUCCCUCCUGAAUUCAAUUUGCACUAAGUCGUUUGCACUGGUUUGGAGUUCUGGAAACAGCCUUGUGUCUCUUGGUACGAGUGUGUGCAAUGAGUGUGCGGGCCUCUUCGGCCAUGCUGCCCCAGCGCCUGCCUGCCCUCCACCUCUGUCUGGGGGCAACUGGGUGCCAGCUGCGUGCCUGAGGCCUCACCCUCCCUUAGCCUAGUCUGGAAGUUCCAUCACAAAGCGUUCAUUACCUACGCCCCACUUCGUCCCGUGCCCCUCCCCACCAGGGCCUCACCAGAGGUCCUGGCUUCAUCAAUAAAUACAGUUACAGUCA